UGUCAGGAGUUAUGAAAUGUAGGUGCGCUAAUAUCGUGCUUAUUUGACAAAGGCUCCAAAGGAAGCCACGGCUAACUCUGUGCCAGCAGCCGCGGUAAUACAGAGGUGGCGAGCGUUGUUCGGAAUUAUUGGGCGUAAAGAGCACGUAGGUGGGUUUGCAAGUCAGAUGUGAAAGCCUUCUGUUCAACGGGAGAAUUGCAUCUGAAACUGCUAAUCUUGAGUAUAGGAGGGGAGAAUGGAACUUCUGGUGGAGCGGUGAAAUGCGUAGAUAUCAGAAGGAACGCCGGCGGCGAAAGCGAUUCUCUGGCCUAUUACUGACACUCAGUGUGCGAAAGCUAGGGGAGCAAACGGGAUUAGAUACCCCGGUAGUCCUAGCCGUAAACGAUGGGCACUAAGUAGAGG
rnacentral:rRNA from 1 species